rnacentral:rRNA from 1 species
GAUGAACGCUGACAGAAUGCUUAACACAUGCAAGUCUACUUGAAUUUGGGUUUUUAACUUAGAUUUGGGUGGCGGACGGGUGAGUAACGCGUAAAGAACUUGCCUCACAGCUAGGGACAACAUUUGGAAACGAAUGCUAAUACCUGAUAUUAUGAUUUUAAGGCAUCUUAGAAUUAUGAAAGCUAUACGCGCUGUGAGAGAGCUUUGCGUCCCAUUAGCUAGUUGGAGAGGUAACGGCUCACCAGGGCGAUGAUGGAUAGCCGGCCUGAGAGGGUGAACGGCCACAAGGGGACUGAGACACGGCCCUUACUCCUACGGGAGGCAGCAGUGGGGAAUAUUGGACAAUGGACCAAGAGUCUGAUCCAGCAAUUCUGUGUGCACGAUGACGUUUUUCGGAAUGUAAAGUGCUUUCAGUUGGAAGAAAAAAAGACGGUACCA